GACGAACGCUGGCGGCGUGCCUAAUACAUGCAAGUAGGACGCAGUUGCGAACGGGUGAGUAACGCGUAGGUAACUGCCUAUUAGCGGGGGAUAACUAUUGGAAACGAUAGCUAAUACCGCAUACUAGUAGAUGGACCUGCGUUGUAUUAGCUAGUAGGUAGGGUAAUGGCCUACCUAGGCGACGAUACAUAGCCGACCGUAGAGGGUGAUCGGCCACACGGGGACUGAGACACGGCCCAUACUCCUACGUGAGGCAGCAGUAGGGAAUCUUAGGCAAUGGGGGGAACCCUGACCGAGCAACGCCGCGUGAGUGAAGAAGGUUUUCGGAUCGUAAAGCUCUGUUGUUAAGGAAGCGGUACUUAACAAGAAAGGGACGGCUAACUACGUGCCAGCAGCCGCGUAAUUC
rnacentral:rRNA from 1 species